ensembl:snoRNA SNORD58 Small nucleolar RNA SNORD58
UUGCGGUGAUGACUUUCUUAGGACACCUUUGGAUUCAACGUGAAAAGAAAUCAGUUUUCUGAGCGAU